rfam:Sistotremastrum suecicum HHB10207 ss-3 unplaced genomic scaffold SISSTscaffold_31, whole genome shotgun sequence.
GCCUCUUUGGUGUAGUGGUAUCAUGUUUGUCUUGUAAACAAAAGGUCGCUAGUUCAACCCUGGCAGGAGGCA